rnacentral:rRNA from 1 species
UAAUACUCCAUAGAUUAGAGACACUGGAAUGUUCUUUAGUCGAAAGUUCUGGCGCCUUAGGAUGGAUCUGCGGUCGAUUAGGUUGUUGUUGGGGUAACGGCCCAACAAGCCUGUAAUCGAUACGGGUUGUGGGAGCAAGAGCCCGGAGAUGGAAUCUGAGACACGAUUCCAGGCCCUACGGGGCGCAGCAGGCGCGAAAACUUUACAAUGCAGGAAACUGUGAUAAGGGAACUCCGAGUGCCCGUAUACGCGGGCUGUUCAGGUGUUUAAAAAUCAUCUGAAGAAAGGGCCGGGCAAGACCGGUGCCAGCCGCCGCGGUAAUACCGGCGGCUCGAGUGGUGGCCACUAUUAUUGGGCUUAAAGCGUCCGUAGCUGGACCGAUAAGUCUCUUGGGAAAUCCGCCGGCUCAACCGGCGGGCGUCUAAGGGAUACUGUUAGUCUAGGGACCGGGAGAGGUGAGAGGUACUCCGGGGGUAGGAGUGAAAUCCUGUAAUCCCCGGGGGACCACCGAUGGCGAAGGCAUCUCACCAGAACGACUCCGACAGUGAGGGACGAAAGCUGGGGGAGCGAACCGGAUUAGAUACCCGGGUAGUCCCAGCCGUAAACUAUGCGCGUUAGGUGU